GUGAAACGCAAACUGGUGUUCAUAGAGGUCUAGGUGUUCAUAGAGGUCUAGAUGUUCAUAAAGGUCUAGGUGUUCACAGAGGUCUAGAUGUUCAUAAAGGUCUAGGUGUUCAUAGAGGUCUAGGUGUUCAUAGAGGUCUAGGUGUUCAUAGAGGUCUAGGUGUUCAUAGAGGUCUAGAUGUUCAUAGAGGUCUAGAUGUUCAUAGAGGUCUAGGUGUUCAUAGAGGUCUAGGUGUUCAUAGAGGUCUAGGUGUUCAUAGAGGUCUAGGUGUCCAUAGAGGUCUAGGUGUCCAUAGAGGUCUAGGUGUCCAUAGAGGUCUAGGUGUCCAUAGAGGUCUAGGUGUUCAUAGAGGUCUAGGUGUUCAUAGAGGUCUAGAUGUUCAUAGAGGUCUAGGUGUUCAUAGAGGUCUAGGUGUUCAUAGAGGUCUAGGUGUUCAUAGAGGUCUAGGUGUUCAUAGAGGUCUAGGUGUUCAUAGAGGUCUAGGUGUUCAUAGAGGUCUAGAUGUUCAUAGAGGUCUAGAUGUUCAUAGAGGUCUAGAUGUUCAUAGAGGUCUAGGUGUCCAUAGAGGUCUAGGUGUCCAUAGAGGUCUAGAUGUUCAUAGAGGUCUAGGUGUUCAUAGAGGUCUAGGUGUUCAUAGAGGUCUAGGUGUUCAUAGAGGUCUAGAUGUUCAUAAAGGUCUAGGUGUUCAUAGAGGUCUAGAUGUUCAUAGAGGUCUAGAUGUUCAUAGAGGUCUAGAUGUUCAUAGAGGUCUAGAUGUUCAUAGAGGUCUAGGUGUCCAUAGAGGUCUAGGUGUUCAUAGAGGUCUAGGUGUUGGUAGAGGUCUAUUCACCUUCAGCAGUCG